GACGAACCGUGCGAACGUUGUUCGGAAUCACUGGGCUUAAAGGGCGCGUAGGCGGGCUGCCAAGUCCGUAGGUGAAAUCCCCCGGCUCAACCGGGGAACGGCCUCGGAUACUGGCGGCCUGGAGGGGGGUAGGGGCGUGCGGAACUGUGGGUGGAGCGGUGAAAUGCGUUGAGAUCCACAGGAACUCCGGUGGCGAAGGCGGCACGCUGGACCCUCUCUGACGCUGAGGCGCGAAAGCCAGGGGAGCGAACGGG
rnacentral:rRNA from 1 species